rnacentral:rRNA from 1 species
UACGAAGGGGGCUAGCGUUGCUCGGAAUGACUGGGCGUAAAGGGCGCGUAGGCGGAUUAUUCAGUCAGGCGUGAAAUUCCUGGGCUCAACCUGGGGACUGCGUUUGAGACGGGUAGUCUUGAGUUCGGAAGAGGGUCGUGGAAUUCCCAGUGUAGAGGUGAAAUUCGUAGAUAUUGGGAAGAACACCGGUGGCGAAGGCGGCGACCUGGUCCGAUACUGACGCUGAGGCGCGAAAGCGUGGGGAGCAAACAGGAUUAGAUACCCUGGUAGUCCACGCUAUAAACGAUGUGUGCUGGAUGUUGGGUGACCUAGUCACUCAGUGUCGUAGCUAACGCGAUAAGCACACCGCCUGGGGAGUACGGCCGCAAGGUUGAAACUCAA